rnacentral:lncRNA from 1 species
UUUUAAUGUGUUGUGAGGUUGAUGUUGUUCUGUAAAAAGAAAUAAAGUGUUAAAGGUGAAAAGUAAUAGUCCAGAGAUGAAGAGAUAUGUGUGAUAUAAGGGCGGUUUAUGUGUUUCUUGGGGGGUGUUUUUUUUUCUGCUAUGAAGUGAUGGUGAUGUUCAGUGUGAUGAUGAAAAUGAGAUUAUGAUGGUGAAGAUGUUUGAGAACAUUGGCGGUUUGCUUAUGUACGAUUUGAAGAAGACUUUUCUUAAGCAAGUUAUACAGAAAAAUAGUAAGAAGAGAGAGCUUGUGUGUGUUGUUUCAACAUGUAUAUAUAUAAAAAGAACUUUACCUUUUUUAAAAAUAAAUGAGUGGUUUUGUG